rnacentral:rRNA from 1 species
GACGAACGCUGGCGGCGUGCCUAACACAUGCAAGUCGAACGCUGCCGGAGGGGCUUGUUUCGCUGGAUGAGUUGCGAACGGGUGAGUAACGCGUAGGUAAGCUGUCUGGUAGCGGGGGAUAACCAUUGGCCAUGAUAGCUAAUACCGCCUAAGAGUUGUUGUCGCAUGAUAUUUGCUUAAAAGGUGCAAUUGCAUCACUACUAGUUGGAUCUGCGUUGUAUUAGCCAGUUGGUGAGGUAACGGCUCAUCACGGCAACGAGACCUAGCCGACCUGAGAGGGUGAGCGGCCACGCUGGGACGAGAACACGGCCCGGACUCCUACGGGAGGGAGCAGUAGGGGAUUUUCGGCAAUGGAAGGAAGGCUGACCGAGGAACGCCGGGUGAGUGAAGGAUGUUUUCGGGUCGGAAAAGUCUGUUAGGAGAGAAGGACGAGUAGUAAGGUGAAACGUUCACAUUGUGACGGUACCUGACGAAUAAGCUACGGCUAACUACGUG